rnacentral:lncRNA from 1 species
CUGGGGAAGCCUAUUCAGAAAAAUCCAGCAGUUAAAGGUCAGUUUUUCACUCACCACGUGUCAUUCCAGUCAGCAGAUCCUUCUGCCACUCUUCACCAGCCUCAACUCAAAAGCAUGAAUUCCUCCUGUCUCUACUUCCAAAAAUGAAGAACUGUCUCUCACAGGAGGUUCCACUCCCCUGUGAAAGUUCCAAAUCAAACUCCCAGAAGGACUGAGUACAGAGUUCAGGCUUCCUUGCUUCCUUUCUUCCUUUCUUCCUUCCUUUCUUUCUUCCUUUCUUUCUUUCUUUCUUUCUUUCUUUCUUUCUUUCUUUCUUUCUUUCUUUCUUUCUUUCUUUCUUUCUUUCUUUCUUUCUUUCUUUCUUUCUUUCUUUCUUUCUUUCUUUCUUUCUUUCUUUCUCUCUCUCUCUCUCUCUCUCUCUCUCUCUUUCUCUCUUUCUCUCUUUCUCUCUUUCUCUCUUUCUCUCUUUCUCUCUUUCUCUCUUUCUCUCUUUCUCUCUUUCUCUCUUUCUCUCUUUCUCUCUUUCUCUCUUUCUCUCUUUCUCUCUUUCUUUCUUUCUUUCUUUCUUUCUUUCUUUCUUUCUUUCUUUCUUUCUUUCUUUCUUUCUUUCUUUCUUUCUUUCUUUCUUUCUUUCUUUCUUUCUUUCUUUCUUUCUUUCUUUCUUUCCUUCUUUCUUUUUCUCCAGAAAGCAGAUAUCUAUUUAUUUGUGCCUGCAGAAAGGCAAUAAGACAGGUGGUCACAGCCCAGCCCUCAGGAGUGGAGUGCUCGCCACUUGUCCAAGGGGCCUCUAUUAGGGAUGUAUUUGACCCCACAGCCAUCAGGAAUGAGCUGUUUCUCAGAGAUCAUAUCCUCAAACUGAUCGGCAUUGAACUUGGUGAAACCCCAUUUCUUGGAGAUAUGGAUCUUUUGGCGGUCAGGGAACUUGAACUUAACCCUCCACAGAGCUUCAAUCACUUGUUCUUUGUUCUGGACAUUGGUUCGAAUGGACAUGAUAACCUGGCCAAUGUGGACACAGGCUACAGUGCCCUGGGGCUUCCCAAAGGCCCUGGCAUGCCAGUCUGGAGCCUAUCAGCCCCAGCACAUGACAGCAUCUUAUUGAUGCGGAUGACAUGAAAAGGGUGGAGGCGCACACGAAUAUGGAAGUCAUCCUUGCCACAGCUCUUCACCAUGUACUUGUUGGCACAGAUGAGAGCUGCUUCCAAGGCUUCAGAUGACAGCUGUUCCUACUCAUCAGACACCAUGUGGUCACAUAAUGGAAACUCGGCCACUUUUGCUUUCUUCCUCCCAAGAUCAAAGAUUUGGAUUUUGGCAUCGGGAACUCCCCUGCAUUAACAGGACUUGAGGUACCUGUAACAGCAGGCUGGACAACAGCCCAUGGCACCUG